rnacentral:misc_RNA from 1 species
CCCAACUGAAAAAUGAUAUUGCAAAAUGAAAGUGAAAUUUUUUAAGAAACUCACAGAAAGAUAGUACAAGAGGAAUUAAGUGCCUACGGUUAUUGUGACUACAAUGAAUAAGAUAUGCAUAAUGCGUUUAAUCAAAUAACAACAUUUUUCAUUUGAUAUUUCCAGUUGAAAGGAAAUGCUGCAUAACAAAAAAGAAAAAUCUAUUUAAGAAUAAGAUUUUAGGGAAUACUUCAAUCAGAAUGUUACACUUUUCAAUUGGCUUAAGAAUAAACCAUGCUUCAACAUUAAGAUCUAGCUUCUAACUCAUUGAGAAAAUGGCACACUAGAUUUUAUGAACUAUAAAAUGAUUCCCUAAAUGUUGGGAUCCAUAAUUAACUAUAAUGAGAAUUUGUCUCCAAGUUAUGCAAGCAACACGAGAGGAAGACAAAAUCUGUACAGUUAGCCCAAUAGUCGUCCAAUGAAAACAUUAUAUAUGACAGCUUCAUAGCAAUACAUACUGCAGGAAAUCCUCGUUGAAACAA